GGAGAACAAAAGUGAUGAAGAAACGUUUCUCUUCUUCUGAUAAUUUCAGCCACAAGUGAUGCUUCUGUCUACUUUACCAACAAACCCUUCAGUCAUCUGAUUCUUGGCUGCGUGCUGAUAGUUCCCAGCACCCUGACGGCUGCAAAGUGUCUGUGGAACCUCACAUUCCGUCCUGAAUCAUUGCUUCCUGCAAGCAGCCUGAUAAUUGUGUGCCUCCUGGAAGCAGUUGCAUCCUUUGGUACAACAAUGCUGGUUGUCAUCUGCCUUCCUGAAUUUGACAUCCUGACAAAUGUGUUCAUUUCCAACAGUAUUUACCUGAUCCCAU